rnacentral:rRNA from 1 species
GGUUCGAUUAUGGCUCAGAUUGAACGCUGCGGGAUGCUUUACACAUGCAAGUCGAACGGCAGCACGGACUUCGGUCUGUUAUGGGCAAACGGGUGAGUAACGUAUCGGAACGUGCCUAGUAGCGGGGAUAACUACGCGAAAGCGUAGCCAAUACCGCAUACGCCCUUCGGGGGAAAGCGGGGGGACCUUCGGGCCUGCACUACUAGAGCACGACAUCGGAUUAGCUAGUUGGUGGGGUAACGGCUCACCAAGGCGAUGAUCCGUAGCUGGUUUGAGAGGACGACCAGCCACACUGGGACUGAGACACGGCCCAGACUCCUACGGAGGCAGCAGUGGGGAAUUUUGACAAUGGGGGAAACCCCUGAUCCAGCCACCCCGCGUGUGUGUGAUACGGGCCUUCUGGGCUAGCAGUAAAGCACUUUUGGUAUAGAAUAAUGGCACGGAUAAUACCCCGUGCAACUGACGGUACCUGCAAUAAGCACCGGCUACUACGCCAGCAGCCGCGGUAAUACGUAGGGCAAGGCAAGACCUGAAUUACUAGCGGAAGCGUGCGCAGGCGGUUCCGGAAAGAGGCGAUGUGAAACUCCAGAGCUAACUUUGGAACUGCAUUUUUAACUACCGAGCUAGAGCGCUGUAGAGGGAGGUGGAAUUCCCAUGGUGGUAUAUAAAUGCAGAUAUGCGGAGGAACACCGAUGGCGAAGGCAGCCUCCUGGGGAUAACGACCGACGCCUGGCACGAAAGCGUGGGGAGCAAUGAGGAUUAGAUACCCUGGUAGUCCACGCCCUAAACGAUGCUUGACCAGCUGUUGGGCCUUCGGGCCUUGGUAGCGCAGCUAACGCGUGAAGUUGACCGCCUGGGGAGUACGGUCGCAAGAUUAAAACUCAAAGAAUUGAUUGGGACCCGCACAAGCGUGGAUGAUGUGGAUUAAUUCGAUGUAACGCGAAAAACCUUACCUACCCUGAUGCAGAUGUCUGGAAUCCUGAAGAGGAUUUGGGAGUGCCUCGUAAGAGAACCAGAACCAUAUGUGCUGUACGGCUGUCGUCAGCUCGUGUCGUGAGAUGUUAAGCUAAGUCCCGCAACGAGCGCAACCCUUGUCAUUAGUUGCUACGAAAGGGCACUCGCAUCGAGACUGCCGGUGACAAACGGAGGUAGUUGCGGGGAUGAUGUCGUUUCCUGGCCUCUAUGGCAGGGCUCACACGUCAUACAAAUGGUCGGGACGAGAGGCCGCCAACCCGGCGAGGGGAGCCAAUCCCGCAGAAAACCUGACUGUAGUCCGAUCGCAGUCUGCAACUCGACUGCGUGAAGUCGGAAUCGCUAGUAACGCGGAUCAGCAUGCCGCAGUAACACGUCCCGGGUCUUGUGGCACACCGCCCGUCACACCAUGGAGCGGGUCUUUACCAGAAGUGGUUAGCCCAACCUAUGGAGGCGAUUAACAGCAGAGAUUCUGUAUGAUCAAAGAAGUCAACAAGGUGAACUUCA